UACGUAGGGUCCGAGCGUUGUCCGGAAUUAUUGGGCGUAAAGAGCUUGUAGGCGGUCUGUCACGUCUGCUGUGAAAAUCCGGGGCUCAACCCCGGACUUGCAGUGGGUACGGGCAGACUAGAGUGUGGUAGGGGAGACUGGAAUUCCUGGUGUAGCGGUGAAAUGCGCAGAUAUCAGGAGGAACACCGAUGGCGAAGGCAGGUCUCUGGGCCACUACUGACGCUGAGGAGCGAAAGCGUGGGGAGCAAACAGG
rnacentral:rRNA from 1 species